CAACUUAUCUCACCCAUGAUUCGAUUUCAUUGGCAGCAGCAAGCAGCAUCGAGCAUCCCCUCCCCCACCUGAUCCGUUUUUGUUGGGUACGGCAGCAGCUUCAGCCCUUGAUCAACUGCGACCUGCACUGGCGCACCAUGUUCCGUUUGCGGCGGGGCAUUUCCAUGAGGCCGAGUGGAGGGAAGGCGGCAAGCCAGCAGCACUUGGAGGUGACGGUCUUCCACGACAGAGGUGCCAUCUGGGUAAUGAUCUGGCGGAUAUUGACAACUUCAGGAAGGAGAUGGCUGCUGACCUUAUUUUUGCUGAGGCAAAUGAGGCUUAGGAUGUGAAAAAAAGGCAUUCAAGCACUCAUGAAUCAGGAUGAAGACGAUGAUGUAGAUUCUCCAACUAUUUAGUUUAAGUCUUAGUUUGGGUCUCAGUUCCUAUAAAAUAAAGGUUGGAGUAGAGAGGCCUAGUUACAUAAGCCUUUUGGCUUGAAUGAAUGGACAUACAUUUUUUUUUGCUUGAAUUUCAGUUAGGUCUAUUUAAGAAUUUGAACGAUGCAUAUUAUUUGUGUGACUCCUUUUGGCUGCUCCCUGAUACUAAACUUUAUGAUCCUGAUCCCUGAUACUAAACUUUAUGAUCAAUUUCCAGAAGGUUAUGCUAACCUUUUCAUUGUUGCA